AUUAAAAAUAGGUUAGCAAAGCAUGAGUAAAAAUAGUCAAUUUUCAAAUACUUUUCACAGCUCUCCGAGUCUGACAUAUUUCUCUGGCUAAAAGGGAAGAAACAUAUCGGCACUCAUGUUGGGAAGACCUUAGAACAGCAAAGUACUAAAACUUGCCAAACCAACUUCAAGUGGCUUUCUUGUUAGUGCAAUACACACUGCACUGAGUUCCUGAGCAUAAUAUUUCCACCCUUUCCCACGGAGUCUGCUUAAAUUUGAAGAUUUUUUUUCUAGUAGGUGUAUUGUCCUUAAUUUUGGAGGAAGUUUUAAAAAGGUGGAUUAAUGUUAUAUAUGCUUCCGAGAAUAUUAUGCAACCAUGAAGCUUUGCACUUCAACAUAAAUGAAUCCCAAAAAGAGCCAGAUGAACUGUUGGCUGGGAGGCAGAGCCUUAGGAUGUUUCAAAUUCAUCGUGACUUCACAUAAAGGUCCUCUCUGGAGUAUGAAAGUCAAUUUUACAGGUGUAAAAUAAAGGAAAAGACGACAGUCUGAAAGUCAAACGAAAUUCCAGGACCACCUGUAUUUCAGUGAGAAACAGCAUGUACAGACUGGGUUUACUUGUGCUAUGUCCAUCAAGAUACUCAAGUUACUAGAAUCUUACGUUUUGGAGUCUCACUUAUAGAAGGACCUUGCCCUGAAAGAAAGGCUAGACCCUCCACUAUAACACUGAAUAGAAUUAGAGAAAACAGCUAUCUUGCCUUGUUCUCUAUCAUAGAAGGAAGCAUUCAGAAUUCCACUACUAAGUAUAAUGGUCACGUGCCAUAGAUGGAGCAGAGUGAAGCAAGAUAAAGCCUGUUGAUUUUUCAAUUCUUGUAGUUUUCCUAAGCUUGCAGUAACUUGAACAAGGUUACAGGACAAGUAGAAUAUGGCAGAGAUGGAAUUUGAACCCAAGCAAUCAAAUUCAAAAGACUAUACUCUAAAGCAAUGGCACUCAGGGAGUGAUCCAUCAGUGCCUGUGCACAACAAGGUCCACAACCUGGCAUUUAGUGGUAGGCCUGGAGCUGCUCUUGGUCAACAGUGUCAGAAGUUGGGAAGAAGAGCUGCAUAUCAAGCAGAAGAGAAUGAGAAGAAACAGGAACCCACUUCUGCAUCUGUCUAUAGCAACAUCUGACUAUAACGACCUUCAAAAGAUAAUGGCUGUUGCUUCAUUUCCAACCCUCCAAAUCUCAAGUAGCCUUGUGAUUACAUUGGGCUUACCCAGAUCCAGAUCAUCUAGGAUAAUCUCUCUACCCAAGAUCUUUAAUGUAAUCACACCUGCAAAGUCCCUUUUGGGAAGAAAGGUUGUAGAGAAGGUACUGUUCCCAUUGAAAUCAGUAACGGCCAUGUGACCUGAUUCGACUCAUGAAAUCGUGGACUUUUUCAUAGUCUCAAUGGGAUGUUUAUCUAAAAUGCAUACAUUCCUAAAUGAAGAGUGCCCUUGUCUUCACUGUAUAUUGUGUUAUUGUUAGAACUUUCAAACAUGCUAAAGAAGCUGAUAAGUCUAAGUUCACAUCAAUAAUUACAUUAUUCAACAACCUGAGAGAAGUGAAGCCAGGUUGAGUGUAGUCCCAGUAGAGAGAUGUUUUCUAUGUUCUCUUUCUUUUGUGUUUAGUAAAGGUACUUCACCAGAGGUCAAUUUUCUGUACCAAUUUCUGUUUGGCUGGAGCAGAUUCCAGCUGUGUCUGUGCUUGGUCUCCCACCUGAUGCCACCACAUCAAAGGGAAGCCCAUAUUACACUGGAAACAAGGCCCUGCUUCCCUGCUGAGUUUUGUGUUUUGUGACGUUCCCAAGCAAAAUUCGAAAUCUUCCUGUUUCAAUUUUUGUAAUGUGUAUCAUUAAAAUAAUACUCUCACAUGUGAAUAAAUCAAAUACUAAGAUUAGCCUAUCCUAAUUUCUAUACCUCCUACCCCCAUACGUGUUUAAACCUGUAGUCCCACUCUCCAGGAGAAACCUCUUUUUUUUUAUUGGUAAUAUAGGUGUUAAUUUUUGAUAUUUUUAAUAUCUCAAAUAAAGAAAAAGAAAGAAAGAAAGUAAAAUUACUUGUUAAAAAUCAGUUCAAAUUAAAAUUCACUAUAAUGGUUAAAACAG
rnacentral:lncRNA from 10 species